rnacentral:rRNA from 1 species
UACAGAGGUCCCGAGCGUUGUUCGGAUUCACUGGGCGUAAAGGGUGCGUAGGUGGCGAGGUAAGUCGGAUGUGAAAGCUCGGAGCUCAACUCCGAAAUGGCAUUGGAAACUACCUUGCUCGAGGGUUGGAGGGGGGACUGGAAUACUUGGUGUAGCAGUGAAAUGCGUAGAUAUCGUAAGGAAGACCAGUGGCGAAGGCGAGUCUCUGGACAGCAACUGACGCUGAGGCACGAAGGCCAGGGGAGCAAACGGG